GGGCCGUUAGCUCAGCUAGGCAGAGCACCGGACUUUUAAUCCGGGUGUCGUGGGUUCGAUUCCCACACGGCCCACCA
rnacentral:tRNA from 1 species